rnacentral:lncRNA from 1 species
CUCUUCAUGCCGCUGCCCGAGCUCCUAUCAGGCGUCUGAAGGAGGCAGCUUCUGAGGAUCUGUGCCCUGCUGGCUGCUGAACCAUCUGCUCCACAUUGAAGGGCAGCCAUCCUCAGGAGACCCCAGCACUUCACAUCCCUGCUGGGAUAUGACUUCUGACUCGAUGGACCGUCAGAGGAGGGCGUGGACUCUGAGCCUCAGAAGCAGGAGCUGACAGAGAAGAACCAAGUGUGCUGGCGCGUGUGCAGACAGGUUCCUGGAGCAAGAGUGAGGAGAUCAGGGUCCCAUCACUGGGACACUUUAGCUCUUCAUGCCGCUGGCCGAGCUCCUAUCAGGCGUCUGAAGGAGGCAGCUUCUGAGGAUCUGUGUCCUCAUGGCUGCUGAACCAUCUGCUCCAGAUUCAAGGGCAGCCGUCCUCAGGAGACCACGACACUUCACAUCCCUGUUGGGAUAUGAGGCCCGGCCUGAUGGGCCGUCAGAGGAGGGUGUGGACUCUGAGCCUCAGAAGCAGGAGCUGACAGAGAAGAACCAAGUGUGCUGGCGCGUGUGCAGACAGGUUCCUGGAGCAAGAGUGAGGAGAUCAGGGUCCCAUCACUGGGACACUUUAGGUAAGUCGCUCCUCUUCCACCAGUCCUGUCUAUACAGCAGGAUGACGGUACCCAUUGCUGCCGGCCACCCAGGAAUCCUCUGGAGUUUGAGUGUGAUCCCAUGUGGGAAAGCAAUCUGUGCUCGUAGGUGGGAGGAAGGACCAGUGCACUUUCAAGGAAUUACAUUAACAGAGACACCCCAGAUAUCACGGAACUCUGCAUGGCAGACAUCAAAUUAA